UCCGGCUUGUCGCCGGCGGUCCCUUUAGAGUGCCCAACUUAAUGAUGGCAACUAAAGGCGAGGGUUGCGCUCGUUGCGGGACUUAACCCAACAUCUCACGACACGAGCUGACGACAGCCAUGCAGCACCUGUCUCCGGUCCAGCCGAACUGAAGGGAUCGAUCUCUCGUUCCCGCGACCGGGAUGUCAAAGGCUGGUAAGGUUCUUCGCGUUGCUUCGAAUUGAACCACAUGCUCCACCGCUUGUGCGGGCCCCCGUCAAUUCCUCUGAGUUUUAAUCUUGCGACCGUACUCCCCAGGCGGGAUGCUUAAUGCGUUAGCUGCACCACCAACGAGCAAGCUCGCUGACGGCUAGCAUCCAUCGUUUACGGCGUGGACUAC
rnacentral:misc_RNA from 1 species